rnacentral:rRNA from 1 species
GAGGAAAGCGGGCGGCGUGCCUAAUACAUGCAAGUCGAGCGAACGGACGAGAAGCUUGCUUCUCUGAUGUUAGCGGCGGACGGGUGAGUAACACGUGGAUAACCUACCUAUAAGACUAGGAUAACUUCGGGAAACCGGAGCUAAUACCGGAUGAUAUUUUGAACCGCAUGGUUCAAAAGUGAAAGACGGUCUUGCUGUCACUUAUAGAUGGAUCCGCGCUGCAUUAGCUAGUUGGUAAGGUAACGGCUUACCAAGGCAACGAUGCAUAGCCGACCUGAGAGGGUGAUCGGCCACACUGGAACUGAGACACGGUCCAGACUCCUACGGGAGGCAGCAGUAGGGAAUCUUCCGCAAUGGGCGAAAGCCUGACGGAGCAACGCCGCGUGAGUGAUGAAGGUCUUCGGAUCGUAAAACUCUGUUAUUAGGGAAGAACAUAUGUGUAAGUAACUGUGCACAUCUUGACGGUACCUAAUCAGAAAGCCACGGCUAACUACGUG